rnacentral:rRNA from 1 species
UACAGAGGUCCCAAGCGUUGUUCGGAUUCAUUGGGCGUAAAGGGUGCGUAGGCGGCGCGGUAAGUCGGGUGUGAAAUCUCGGGGCUUAACUCCGAAACUGCAUUCGAUACUGCCGUGCUUGAGGACUGGAGAGGAGACUGGAAUUUACGGUGUAGCGGUGAAAUGCGUAGAUAUCGUAAGGAACACCAGUGGCGAAAGCGGCUUCCUGGUCCAGCACCGACGUUAAGGCACGAAAGCGUGGGGAGCAAACAGG